CAGCCCCCCGACAGCAAUGCGUUUUAUUUAAGGGGGGGGGUCGGGGGGUGGGGGUGGGGGGGUCAAAGAAUCCCUGGUACUAGAGUGCCUGUCCUCGUCUCUGUCCCUGGUACUAGAGCGCCUGUCCUCGUCUCUCUCCCUGGUACUAGAGCGCCUGUCCCUGGCACCAGAGUGCCUGUCUCUCUCACUGUCUCUGGUACUAGAGCGCCUGUCCUCGUCUCUCUCCCUGGUACUAGAGCGCCUGUCCCUGUCCCUGGUACUAGAGCGCCUGUCCCUGGUACUAGAGCGCCUGUUCCUGUCCCUGGUACUAG
rnacentral:lncRNA from 1 species